AAAAAGGCAAUGAGGGAAAGAGUACCCAGAAUUCGUGUUUUCAGCGAGCCGGGUUGGUGUGAGCCGGCAAUGCUUUUUUGGGGAAAGGGCUUCCUGAGCCGCAGGAGGAAAGCUUUAUUUUUUCUAAAGCAAGUAAAACCUGCAACCAUGAAAAGAGGGCUGAAUUCAAAACCUCAGCCAAGCAGGGUGGAACCGCGGGAUAAUUCCCGUCCCUGGU
rnacentral:ncRNA from 1 species